UACGGGGGGGGCAAGCGUUGUUCGGAAUUACUGGGCGUAAAGGGCGCGUAGGCGGCCCCGCAAGUCGACUGUGAAAUCUCCGGGCUUAACCCGGAAAGGUCAGCCGAUACUGCGGGGCUAGAGUGCAGAAGGGGCAACUGGAAUUCUCGGUGUAGCGGUGAAAUGCGUAGAUAUCGAGAGGAACACCUGCGGCGAAGGCGGGUUGCUGGGCUGACACUGACGCUGAUGCGCGAAAGCUAGGGGAGCGAACGGG
rnacentral:rRNA from 1 species